UAAUAUAUAGGUAUGGUACUUUUGGGAAAAAUUGCAUGGCGCUUUCUUUUUUAUACAAUUGCCCUGCGUGUACAUGCGAUUAUUGUUUUCCUUUAUGGGAGCUAUUGUUAUUUAUGAGACGUGGACCGGAGAUGAAGCUGCGCAUUACAAGGCUUUGCCAAAGUUGUGACCGCGAUUUCCUUAGCAGAGGAGUUGCAGGGUGUUGG